rnacentral:rRNA from 1 species
UACGUAGGGCGCAAGCGUUUGUCCGGAAUUAUUGGGCGUAAAGAGCUCGUAGGCGGCUUGUCACGUCGGGUGUGAAAGCCCGGGGCUUAACCCCGGGUCUGCAUUCGAUACGGGCAGGCUAGAGUGUGGUAGGGGAGAUCGGAAUUCCUGGUGUAGCGGUGAAAUGCGCAGAUAUCAGGAGGAACACCGGUGGCGAAGGCGGCUCACUGGCUCGUAUCUGACGCUCAGGCGCGACAGCGUGGGGAUCAAACAGG